GGAUAUCUCGGCUCUCGCAUCGAUGAAGAACGUAGCGAAAUGCGAUACUUGGUGUGAAUUGCAGAAUCCCGUGAACCAUCGAGUCUUUGAACGCAAGUUGCGCCCGAGGCCACUCGGCCAAGGGCACGCCUGCCUGGGCGUCAUGCCACACCCAUCGCUCCCCCGCGUUCGCCCGCUGUGGUCGGCCGGGGGGGCGAGAUUGGCCGCCCGUGGCCCGAUUCGGAGCGCGGUUGGCACAAAAGAGCGGGGUCACGGUUUGGCACGACACGACGUGUGGUGGUCGAGAGGCGACUCGUCGCAGCUCGGACGUCGCGCCGGCUGUCACGCCGUGGCCACCCGAUCGUGGGACCCAACGCGGAACUGCGACCCCAGGUCAGGCGGGGCCACCCGCU
rnacentral:rRNA from 1 species